AUGGUCUGGGGCAAGGAGCCUGUCUGGUUGAAUUUGCCCUGUUGUGGGUUCGGCCCUGACCUCAGAUAAAGUCCCAGGAGAAGUUUUUCCAGGGUUUUGAAUUCACAGUAAUGGAUGUGAACAUUCUAGCAGCAGCUUGAUGAUCAUGCAUGACUUUAAAAAAAA